rnacentral:rRNA from 1 species
UACGGAGGGAGCUAGCGUUAUUCGGAAUUACUGGGCGUAAAGCGCACGUAGGCGGCUUUGUAAGUUAGAGGUGAAAGCCUGGAGCUCAACUCCAGAAUAGCCUUUAAGACUGCAUCGCUUGAAUCCAGGAGAGGUGAGUGGAAUUCCGAGUGUAGAGGUGAAAUUCGUAGAUAUUCGGAAGAACACCAGUGGCGAAAGGGCGCUCACUGGACUGGUAGUUGACGCUGAGGUGCGAAAGCGUGGGGA